GACGAACGCUGGCGGCGUGCCUAAUACAUGCAAGUUGAGCGCUGAAGGUUGGUCCUUGUACCAACUGGAUGAGCAGCGAACGGGUGAGUAACGCGUGGGGAAUCUGCCUUUGAGCGGGGGACAACAUUUGGAAACGAAUGCUAAUACCGCAUAAAAACUUUAAACACAAGUUUUAAGUUUGAAAGAUGCAAUUGCAUCACUCAAAGAUGAUCCCGCGUUGUAUUAGCUAGUUGGUGAGGUAAAGGCUCACCAAGGCGAUGAUACAUAGCCGACCUGAGAGGGUGAUAGGCCACAUUGGGACUGAGACACGGCCCAAACUCCUACGGGAGGCAGCAGUAGGGAAUCUUCGGCAAUAGACGAAAGUCUGACCGAGCAACGCCGCGUGAGUGAAGAAGGUUUUCGGAUCGUAAAACUCUGUUGGUAGAGAAGAACGUUGGUGAGAGUGGAAAGCUCAUCAAGUGACGGUAACUACACAGAAAGGGACGGCUAACUACGUG
rnacentral:rRNA from 1 species